AACGCACAUUGCGCUCUGGGGCAUUCCUCAGAGCAUGCUUGUUUGAGAACCGUGAUCAUCCAUCAAGCCCCUUUUGCUUGUUCUUGGUUUGUAAGUGUGUCGGCACGUGACUUUUGCCCGAGUCGGGUAGAGUUUUGCGUGACGUUACCUGCCAAAACAAGUGGGUCUUGGACUUUGAGCGUUCUUCGUGUAAGUCGCUCCAAAUUAAGCGCCCUUUUUGGUUUUGCGAUCGUUGAGAUUGCAAGUGAAACGGGGGCGAUCAAUUGCCAAGACGUGAUGAGCAUGGGCAACUGUGUUAGCGUCGAAAAAAGGCUUGAUCACCUUCCAACCCCUAUGUCAUGAAAGUGGUGUCUGUACCCUCUUUGUGAGGUGACCCUGCUGACUGUUGCCACUUCCCUCCUGGGUUUGUGGCGUUUCAGCUUGUAUUUAACACUUGACAAUGGUCUCAAAUCAAGCAAGAGGACCCGCUGAACUUAA
rnacentral:misc_RNA from 1 species